rnacentral:rRNA from 1 species
UACGUAUGGAGCAAGCGUUAUCCGGAUUUACUGGGUGUAAAGGGAGCGCAGGCGGUAUGGCAAGUCAGAUGUGAAAACCCAGGGCCCAACCCUGGGACUGCCUUUGAAACUGCCAUGCUGGAGUGCCGGAGAGGUAAGCGGAAUUCCUAGUGUAGCGGUGAAAUGCGUAGAUAUUAGGAGGAACACCAGUGGCGGAGGCGGCUUACUGGACGGUAACUGACGCUGAGGCUCGAAAGCGUGGGGAGCAAAUAGG